UAGAGAGUGAAAGUCUCGUAUCCGAAAACGAACAAACUGGGCGAGUAUCCUGAGUAGAACGGGGCACGUGAAACCCUGUUUGAAGCUGGGGGGACCACCCUCCAAGGCUAAAUACUCCUUACUGACCGAUAGUGUACUAGUACCGUGAGGGAAAGGUGAAAAGAACCCCGAUGAGGGGAGUGAAAUAGAACUUGAAACCGCAUGCUUACAGACAGUCAGAGGGCUAUUGUAAAGCCUGAUGGCGUACCUUUUGCAUUAUGAUUCAGCGAGUUAUGGUAUGUGGCGAGGUUAAGCCGUUGCAGGUGUAGCCGUAGGGAAACCGAGUCUGAAUAGGGCGUUAGUCGCAUGCUGUAGACCCGAAACGGGAUGAGCUAUCCAUGGGCAGGUUGAAGCGAGGGUGAAACUUCGUGGAGGACCGAACUCUUGACGGUUGAAAACGUCUGGGAUGACCUGUGGAUAGGGGUGAAAGGCCAAUCAAAUUCCGUGAUAGCUGGUUCUCUCCGAAAUGCAUUUAGGUGCAGCGUUUAUCAUUACUGCCGGGGGUACAGCACUGAAUAGGCUAGGGGUGUUACCGCAUUACCAAACCUUAUCAAACUCUGAAUACCGGCAAGUACAGAUAUGCAGUGAGACUGCGGAUGCUAAGGUCCGUAGUCAAAAGGGAAAGAGCCCAGACCAUCAGCUAAGGUCCCUAAAUUGACACUAAGUGGAGAAGGUUGUGGAACUACUGUGACAUCCAGGAGGUUGGCUUAGAAGCAGCCAUCCUUUAAAGAAAGCGUAAUAGCUCACUGGACUAGUGGUUCUGCGCCGAAAAUGUAACGGGGCUUAAGUGUCGUACCGAAGCUAUGGACUUUUUAAAGUGGUAGGAGAGCAUUGUGUGUGCUGAUGAAGGCGUACCGUAAGGAGCGCUGGAGGUCCCACAAGAGCUGAUGCUGAAAUGAGUAGCGAUAAGGAGGGCGAGAAUCCCUCCCACCGUAAAGCUAAGGGUUCCUGGGCCAGGUGAAUCCUCCCAGGGUAAGUCGGAUCCUAAGGCGAGGCCGAAAGGCGUAGUCGAUGGACAUCAGGUUAAUAUUCCUGAACUUAGUAUUUAUCGUUUGACUGAAGGAGUGACGGAGAAAGGUAGCACAUCCAGAGAUUGGUUGUUCUGGUGUAAGGUCGUAGGUGGGGUCGGUAGGCAAAUCCGCUGGCCCGUUAACACUGAGAGCUGAUGCCGAGCCGCAAGGCGAAGUGUGUGACCCUAUGCUUUCAAGAAAAGCUUCGUAGGGAGAUAAGUAUUAAUCCGUACCGGAAACCGACACAGGUAGCUGAGGCGAAAAGCCUAAGGUGCGUGGAUGAACUAUAGUUAAGGAACUCUGCAAAUUAGUACUGUAACUUCGGGAUAAAGUACGCCCUUGAGUGUGAAGUCACUUGCUGACGUAGCACAUGAGGGUCGCAGUGAAAUGGGGGUAGCGACUGUUUACCAAAAACACAGGUCUAUGCAAACACGUAAGUGGAAGUAUAUGGGCUGACGCCUGCCCGGUGCUGGAAGGUUAAGAGGUGAGGUUAGCCGCAAGGCGAAGCUUUAAAUUGAAGCCCCAGUAAACGGCGGCCGUAACUAUAACGGUCCUAAGGUAGCGAAAUUCCUAGUCGGGUAAGUUCCGACCUGCACGAAUGGCGUAACGACUUCCCCACUGUCUCAACUGUAGAUCCAGCGAAAUUGGUGAGCGCGUGAAGAAACGCGCUACCCGCGGAAGGACGAAAAGACCCCGUGAACCUUUACUGUAACUUGGCAUUGGGUUUCGGUUAACAUUGCGUAGGAUAGGUGGGAGUUUUUGAUCCGUGCAUUCCGG
rnacentral:rRNA from 1 species